UACGGGGGGAGCAAACGUUGUUCGGAAUUACUGGGCGUAAAGGGCGCGUAGGCGGUCCUGUAAGUGGUGUGUGAAAUCCGAUGGCUCAACCAUCGAGCUGCGCUCCAUACUGCAGGACUUGAGUACAGCAGAGGAAAGUGGAAUUCCCAGUGUAGCGGUGAAAUGCGUAGAGAUGCGGAGGAACACCGAUGGCGAAGGCAGCCCCCUGGGCCAACACUGACGCUCAGGCACGAAAGCGUGGGGAGCAAACAGG
rnacentral:rRNA from 1 species